rnacentral:rRNA from 1 species
CCUACGGGGGGCAGCAGUGGGGGAUAUUGCACAAUGGGGGAAACCCUGAUGCAGCGACGCCGCGUGUGGGAAGACGGUCUUCUGGAUUGUAAACCACUGUCCCCAGGGACGAAAAUGACGGUACCUGGGGAGGAAGCUCCGGCUAACUACGUGCCAGCAGCCGCGGUAAUACGUAGGGAGCAAGCGUUGUCCGGAAUUACUGGGUGUAAAGGGAGCGUAGGCGGGGAAGAAAGUUGGGUGUAAAAACUAUCGGCUAAACCGGUAGUCGCACUCAAAACUGUAGGUCUUGAGUGAAGUAGGGGAAGGCGGAAUUCAUAGUGUAGCGAUGAAAUGCGUAGAUAUCAUGCGGAAGACCAGUGGCGAAGGCAGCCUGCCGGGCUUUUACUGACGCUGAGGCUCGAAAGUGUGGGGAGCAAACAGGAUUAGAUACCCCUGUAGUC